rnacentral:rRNA from 1 species
UACGUAGGUGGCGAGCGUUGUCCGGAUUUACUGGGCGUAAAGGGAGCGUAGGCGGACUUUUAAGUGAGAUGUGAAAUACUCGGGCUCAACUUGAGUGCUGCAUUUCAAACUGGAAGUCUAGAGUGCAGGAGAGGAGAAUGGAAUUCCUAGUGUAGCGGUGAAAUGCGUAGAGAUUAGGAAGAACACCAGUGGCGAAGGCGAUUCUCUGGACUGUAACUGACGCUGCGGCUCGAAAGCGUGGGGAGCAAACAGG